UGAGCGAUGGAUUGGGAUUCAACGAUUGGUUGGAGAUGGAGAUGGGGUUGUGGUUAGAAUUCCUCUUUUGAGACUCCUUGCGCUCGUAAAUGGCGUUCCGAUUGAACCAAUCAAGUUCUUCUUCUUUGAGUAUCUGAAAGGAUUCCGCCGGAAAGUUAGGUGGAGCCUCCUCCGGGGGAUCUGGUUAAUCCGACGGUGAAUGAUGAUCAACGACUAAACU